UAUAUGGUCUAAGGUUGCGGUACAAUGGGCAAUGGCGGCGAUCUCAGGUGUCGAGAUGUCGGAGCUGUUCGCUUCGGCUCAGCGGUACUCUAAGUUGGCCGGUAGCUGUAAGUUUAUCGAUUAGCGGGUUUUUAUCCGGGAGUUGGUGAAUGACACCAGCACUUCCGAAUACUCGGCCCGUCAGUGCGGUAUGGUACUUAUGCUAGAGGUGGUACACAGGAUGUGACACGGCCACGACCCCAGUACACCACGCUCUAGGUUGAAACAAAAUCAACGUUCGCAAACUGGGGGAAUGCAGGUCGAAGGCCCCACAGUUCCCAGUUUCCGUACGUUGACUCGCUUCGUAUCUAAGGUACUGGUGAUAGUAUGGUAACGAAAAGCAAGAUGUGACACGGCCACUACCUCCGCUUAACGUUCACAACCUUACGACUAAAUCAAGCAAGCGGGAGUUGGCUACAUGCGGGUCACAGGCCCCACAGGUAUCGAACUUCCGGGUGUUUGAGGGUUCGUCUUUCAAGGACUGGAUGAUUUCUAAUGAAUGGCGAGGUUAAGGGUGCAGGGACAGGUGGGUUAAGGAUAUAAGCGGAACGGAAACGGUCUGGAUUCAGGUUUUCGGUCAUCAAAUGACAGGAUAGAAGUGUCUUCUAAAA